GAGCUAAAUGGCCGGGGCAGGAGCACGGGGAUCGCUCCCCGUAGUGCGAGUAGAGGGGCUGAGUCUCUGCCUGGCCUCACGCUCCUCAUUUCUCCUGCCAUGGGAGAAAGCAGGCCCUUCCAGCUGGAAGCCACAGUCCCUGGCUGGCUGGCACAAAGAAGCUUCCUUUCUCAGUAUAUCAAAGGAAGUAGGUUCUGGGGGAAAAGCGUUCGCCUCAGACUACACUUUCAGCCCAGAAUGCUUUGGACACUUCCUACAGAGUGGAGAGAAACAGGGAAAUGUUGAUGCCGUGCAUUGUAAGAGCACCAUGCAGUCUGGCAGCCUUUGGAAUCUUUAAAGGUGUCAAGGUGCCCCGCAUUUGGGAAAUUAUUACCUGGCAGGCCAACCCUGAAACGCUGAGCGACCACAAAUGUCCACAGUAUGUGAAAUGGGCCCAAAGGCGCUGUAUCCAUAGAGACACUUCAAAGCUCUCUGGCAAUUGAUCAUGUGCGCGGCUCCCUGUGAGAGCGGGCUGAGAGCGAUGACUGGGGGAGAUGGCGUUCUGGAG